UACUAGUAACUCCUUUAAAAAUCUACUCUGUGCCUGUCCUUCAUAAUUGCACUUAAUCCUAUUUCCAGGUUUGCUCCCUGCUGGGUGGACAUGACCAGCAAGGAGCCCCAAGGUGGAAGGCAGAGCCACCUGAACCAGGGGUGUCACAGGGACCAUGUGUGGGGUUGUCCUGUACAUAGGAUCAGUAAAUUUGAAACUAACUGAUGUGCCAAGAACUCAACGAUGAUGCAAUGCCAUGAGAGCAAUGCAAAGGCUGCCCAUCUGAGAGUCUGAAGCAAAGGGAACUAACUCCUGGUCCAGGGGAUGUAUAACCUGGCCUGGAAGGCGUUGUGCCUGUGUUGACCUAGCUGGCUUGGAGGACCGUUGGUAAGUUGCGAGAUAUUCUGCUAUUGCUGUUC
rnacentral:lncRNA from 1 species